rnacentral:rRNA from 1 species
UACCGAGGUCUCAAGCGUUGUUCGGAUUCAUUGGGCGUAAAGGGUGCGUAGGCGGCGCGGUAAGUCGGGUGUGAAAUCUCGGAGCUUAACUCCGAAACUGCAUUCGAUACUGCCGUGCUUGAGGACUGGAGAGGAGACUGGAAUUUACGGUGUAGCGGUGAAAUGCGUAGAUAUCGUAAGGAAGACCAGUGGCGAAGGCGGGUCUCUGGACAGUUCCUGACGCUGAGGCAUGAAGGUCAGGGGAGCAAACGGG